rnacentral:rRNA from 1 species
AGGGUUUGAUUAUGGCUCAGGAUGAACGCUAGCGGCAGGCUUAACACAUGCAAGUCGAGGGGCAUCGCGGUGUGGCAACACACCGGCGGCGACCGGCGCACUGGUGAGUAACGCGUAUGCAACCUGCCCCCCGCAGGGGGACAACACCGGGAAACCGGUGCUAAUACCGCAUGUAACCGACGGCCGCAUGGCCGUCGGUGGAAAGCUACGGCGGCGGGGGAUGGGCAUGCGAGGCAUUAGGCAGUUGGCGGGGUAACGGCCCACCAAACCGACGAUGCCUAGGGGUUCUGAGAGGAAGGCCCCCCACACUGGCACUGAGACACGGGCCAG